rnacentral:misc_RNA from 1 species
GUGAAUUAAACACGCUUGGUGUCCUUCGCUUCGGCAAGGCCCUUGCUUAAAUCACAUCCUAACACCUGUGAACUGUAAGACGUAUGAUGAGGUCUUUGGCCAAGUCAUCGUCUGCCCAUUUUUAACAAACAAUUAAUGUAACAAACGUAGUCUUAUUAUAACCUAAUA